AAACAACCAGUUUGGCAGCAGCUGGAUGCUUUAAAAGCGGCCCUGUGAUGUUCUGUACACAAAGAAUUUUCUGCCUCCUACUGAAGAGAUGACAAGAGCCUGAGGAAGAGAGGGGCAGAUGGCGUGAAAGAGCAGCGGUGCUCCUAAUUUCUCUUAUAGAUGACCUCACGAAACAUUUGCACCGAUCGAGUGAGAAAGUUCAACCUCACAGUGAGACUGAUGGACAGGUGCCAGGCUUCCUCAAUGGCGUGGAAGUUGCAUAGCAAUUUGUAACAUGAGGAGGACGGAAAGAAGAUGCUACACAGAGCGACGACCCCUGAGGGGUGUCUCCUUAGCAGGAGGACCUCUGUCGACCCACGCACAUAAAAACAGCCAUGUGAACGCAAACUCAU